rnacentral:rRNA from 1 species
ACGCUCGACACCUACGUGAGGCAGCAGUGGGGAAUAUUGCACAAUGGGGGAAACCCUGAUGCAGCGACGCCGCGUGGAGGAAGAAGGUCUUCGGAUUGUAAACUCCUGUUGUUGGGGAAAAAGAGGAUGGUACCCAACAAGGAAGUGACGGCUAACUACGUGCCAGUAGCCGCGGUAAUCUGAGCGGGCUGGCAAGGC